AACGAACGCUGGCGGCGUGCCUAACACAUGCAAGUCGAGCGAGAAAGCCCGCAAGGGCGAGUAAAGCGGCGCACGGGUGCGUAACACGUGGGUAAUCUGCCCUGGAGUCCGGAAUAACUCGCCGAAAGGCGUGCUAAUGCCGGAUAAGACCACGGGAACUUCGGUUCCUGCGGGAAAAGGUGGCCUCUGUACACAAGCUAGCACUCCUGGAUGAGCCCGCGGCCCAUCAGCUAGUUGGCGGGGUAACGGCCCACCAAGGCUACGACGGGUAGCUGGUCUAAGAGGACGAUCAGCCACACUGGAACUGGGACCCGGUCCAGACUCCUACGGGGGGCAGCAGUGGGGAAUCUUGCGCAAUGGGCGAAAGCCUGACGCAGCAACGCCGCGUGUGUGAUGAAGGUCUUCGGAUCGUAAAGCACUGUCGCGAGUGACGAAUAAGGUGCCGGCUAACAUCCGGCGCUGAUGACGGUACCUCGAGAGGAAGCACCGGCUAACUCUGUGCCAGCCGCCGCCGUAUAC
rnacentral:rRNA from 1 species